AAGAAGUAAGUGGAAGAGAAAAAGA
rnacentral:piRNA from 1 species